rnacentral:rRNA from 1 species
GAUGAACGCUGGCGGCGUGCCUAAUACAUGCAAGUCGAGCGAACGGACGAGAAGCUUGCUUUUCUGAUGUUAGCGGCGGACGGGUGAGUAACACGUGGAUAACCUACCUAUAAGACUGGGAUAACUUCGGGAAACCGGAGCUAAUACCGGAUAAUAUUUUGAACCGCAUGGUUCAAAAGUGAAAGACGGUCUUGCUGUCACUUAUAGAUGGAUCCGCGCUGCAUUAGCUAGUUGGUAAGGUAACGGCUUACCAAGGCAACGAUGCAUAGCCGACCUGAGAGGGGGAUCGGCCACACUAGAACUGGGACACGGUCCUGACUCCUACGGGAGGCAGCAGUAGGGAAUCUUCCGCAAUGGUCGAGAGCCUUACGGAGCAACGCCGCGUGAGUGAUGAAGGUCUUCGGAUCGUAAAACUCUGUUAUUAGGUAAGAACAUAUGUGUAAGUAACUGUGCACAUCUUGACGGUACCUAAUCAGAAAGCCACGGCUAACUACGUG